GUGUACACAAGAUAGAGCCUUCAUCAAGUUUUUAUAAACUUUACAUUUAAAUCCACCUUCAAAAGAUAUUUCAUAAACUUUAUUCGUAUUAUUCUUUUAAAUGUAACCCACCUCUAUCUUUUACAUCAGCUGCACCUUUACUUGAAGUCUUUGAUUUUAUCAUGAAAGAAAGAUUUCUAAAAAAACUAACUGACAACAGCGGUAUACAAACUAAAUAACAAGUAAAAGUAAGGAUUUCGUGGUCCAUCGUUUAUAGGGCAGGUUCCUCUAAAUGGCUAUCUUGCCGCCAAAUCCGUUAAAUUUCAUAACUACUACUAAUCCAAAAUUUUCUAUUUAUGAGUA
rnacentral:rRNA from 1 species